CGAGGGGACCUAAAAGACCUGCUAACUCUUUAACCUGGAACUAAAAUCCAACCCCC
rnacentral:tRNA from 1 species